UCGAGAAUUUUUCACAAUGGGCGCAAGCCUGAUGGAGCGACGCCGCGUGGGGGAUGAAGGGCUUCGGUCCGUAAACCCCUGUCAUUUGCGAACAAGGCGUCUGACCCAACACGUCAGACGUUGAUAGUAGCGAAAGAGGAAGGGACGGCUAACUCUGUGCCAGCAGCCGCGGUAAUACAGAGGUCCCAAGCGUUGUUCGGAUUCACUGGGCGUAAAGGGUGCGUAGGUGGCGGGGUAAGUUCGGUGUGAAAGCUUCGAGCUCAACUCGGAAAUGGCAUUGAAUACUAUCCUGCUUGAGGGUCGGAGGGGAGACUGGAAUUCUCGGUGUAGCAGUGAAAUGCGUAGAUAUCGAGAGGAACACCAGUGGCGAAGGCGAGUCUCUGGACGACUCCUGACACUGAGGCACGAAAGCUAGGGGAGCAAACAGG
rnacentral:rRNA from 1 species